rnacentral:pre_miRNA from 1 species
UUGUAAGUCCAGCAGUCUGUAUUGCUACAAAUCCUCUUCUCAGCGUCCAACUCAGAAGAAUUCAUAGCAAUACGGACUGCUGGACUUCUAG